AGCUAAUGAACUUGAAAUAAGUAUAUACUUUGAAAGUAUAAAAAAGAAGACAACCUUCUAUUAGCUU
rnacentral:tRNA from 1 species